ensembl:lncRNA
GGUCAAUGGGGAUCAGUAGGAGCCGAUAGGGGUCAACUGGAGCCGAUAGGGGUCAAUGGGGAUCAGUAGGAGAUAGGGGUCAAUAGGGGCCAGUAGGGAUCAACAGGGAUCAGCAGUGAUCAAUAGGGGUCAAUAGGAGCCAAUAGGGAUCAACAGGGAUCAGCAGUGAUCAAUAGGGGUCAACUGGAGCCAAUAGGGAUCGGUGGGAGCCAAUAGGGGUCAAUAGGAGCCAAUAGGGAUCAGUAGGAGCCGAUAGGGGUCAGUUGGAGCCGAUAGGGGUCAAUAGGAGCCAAUAGGGAUCAACAGGGAUCAGCAGUGAUCAAUAGGGGUCAAUUGGAGCCAAUAGGGAUCGGUGGGAGCCAAUAGGGGGCAGUAGGGAUCAAUAGGGAUCAGUAGGGAUCAGUAGGGAUCAGUAGGAGCCAAUAGGGAGCAGUAGGAGCUGAUAGGGGUCAGUAGGAGCCAAUAGAGGUCAGUAGCAGCCAAUAGGGAGCAGUGGGAGCCAAUAGGGGUCAAUAGGAGCCAAUAGGGAGCAGUAGGGGCCAAUAGGGAUCAUGGGAGCCAAUAGGGGUCAAUAGGAGCAAAUAGGAGCCAGCAGGGAUCAGUAGAAAAUAGUAGGGAUCAAUAGGAGCCAAUAGGGAGCAGUAGGAACCAAUAGGGGUCAAUAGGAGCAAAUGGGAAUCAAUAGGAGCCAAUAGGGAGCAAUGGGGGAUGGGGACAAUGGGG